UACGUAGGGUGCGAGCGUUAAUCGGAAUUACUGGGCGUAAAGCGUGCGCAGGCGGUUUUGUAAGCCAGAUAUGAAAGCCCCGGGCUUAACCUGGGAAUGGCAUUUGGGACUGCAAGGCUUGAGUGCGGCAGAGGAGACUGGAAUUCCUGGUGUAGCAGUGAAAUGCGUAGAUAUCAGGAGGAAUACCGAUGGCGAAGGCAGGUCUCUGGGCUGACACUGACGCUCAUGCACGAAAGCGUGGGGAGCAAACAGG
rnacentral:rRNA from 1 species